rnacentral:rRNA from 1 species
GACGAACGCUGGCGGCGUGCCUAAUACAUGCAAGUCGAGCGGAGUGGAUAGAAAGCUUGCUUUCUUGAGACUUAGCGGCGGACGGGUGAGUAACACGUAGGCAACCUGCCCUUUAGCCUGGGAUAACUACCGGAAACGGUAGCUAAUACCGGAUACUUUCAAUUCUCGCAUGGGAAACGAACGAAAGACGGAGCAAUCUGUCACUGAAGGAUGGGCCUGCGGCGCAUUAGCUAGUUGGUGGGGUAACGGCUCACCAAGGCGACGAUGCGUAGCCGACCUGGGAGGGUGAUCGGCCACACUGGGACUGAGACACGGCCCAGACUCCUACGGGAGGCAGCAGUAGGGAAUCUUCCGCAAUGGGCGAAAGCCUGACGGAGCAACGCCGCGUGAGUGAUGAAGGUUUUCGGAUCGUAAAGCUCUGUUGCCAGGGAAGAACGUCCGGUAGAGUAACUGCUACCGGAGUGGCGGUACCUGAGAAGAAAGCCCCGGCUAACUACGUGCCAGCAGCCGCCGUAA